UUUCUUAUUCAUUUUUCAUUCUUACUAUAAAGGUGAUGUACAUAGGGGUUACAGUUUCAAAUUGGUUUCUGUAAAGAUCACAUUGGGCCUAGAAGUGUAGCUUGCAUUCAUGAAACCUGGGGUUUUAUUUUUUGUGUUGGUUGUAGGGCUUGAACUUGGGAGUCUAGGUGUUGUCCUGGAAUUCUUUUUGCUCAAGGCUGGCACUCUACCACUUGAGCCACAGCGCCACUUCUGG